UACGUAGGUGGCAAGCGUUAUCCGGAAUUAUUGGGCGUAAAGAGCGCGCAGGUGGUUAAUUAAGUCUGAUGUGAAAGCCCACGGCUUAACCGUGGAGGGUCAUUGGAAACUGGUUGACUUGAGUGCAGAAGAGGGAAGUGGAAUUCCAUGUGUAGCGGUGAAAUGCGUAGAGAUAUGGAGGAACACCAGUGACGAAGGCGGCUUCCUGGUCUGCAACUGACACUGAGGCGCGAAAGCGUGGGGAGCAAACAGG
rnacentral:rRNA from 1 species